GGGUUGUGAGGUUAAGCGACUAAGCGUACACGGUGGAUGCCCUGGCAGUCAGAGGCGAUGAAGGACGUGCUAAUCUGCGAUAAGCGUCGGUAAGGUGAUAUGAACCGUUAUAACCGGCGAUUUCCGAAUGGGGAAACCCAGUGUGAUUCGUCACACUAUCAUUAACUGAAUCCAUAGGUUAAUGAGGCGAACCGGGGGAACUGAAACAUCUAAGUACCCCGAGGAAAAGAAAUCAACCGAGAUUCCCCCAGUAGCGGCGAGCGAACGGGGAGGAGCCCAGAGCCUGAAUCAGUGUGUGUGUUAGUGGAAGCGUCUGGAAAGGCGCGCGAUACAGGGUGACAGCCCCGUACACAAAAAUGCACAUGCUGUGAGCUCGAUGAGUAGGGC
rnacentral:rRNA from 1 species